ACAAAAUUUUCUUUUAAAUUAUGCUAAAGUAGCAUAAAUGUAAAUCUACAAUGCCUGAUUGAAUUUUAUAUUUGAAUAACCCCAGUUGGGUUUUUUUUAUUUUACCAUUAAUUUUGAAUGACCGGACAAAUAUAAUACCAGGAUAAAUACAGGAUGAAGGAGACUACACAUUUUCCAUAAACUCAAGCAAAUUCAACCAAAUAUUUUGGAAUUCCAGUACAGUAUGAAAAUUAAAUUUCAAUUUACAAUUCGAAGUGGGGUAAGCAGAACACUUGUUUUACAAUUCGGCUUCUAAUUCAACCAAGUCCAUCGAAUUUUAUGAGUUUCAAACUUCGUUAUCGUCGCUUAUCUACGAUUCCACAUCACACUGAAGCUUCAGUUGUAGGCCUACCGGGUUACUAACAUAGAUUUAAUAAUCAAAACUUGUAAACUGAAUAUUUUGUAACUUCAGAAAUGAAAUUGAUUUUUAUGUUGAAAAUAUAAGAUUCAAUCGGA